UCAAAAUAAACAAACAACCGCGGUUAUUAGGCGUUUCAGCAAAUUGAUUAUUUUCAAAGAUAUUUAUUAAUUAUUUUAUAACGCAAUGACUGACAAACAAUCUGUUGGGGAAGCAGGCAAGUCCGUCCAGACAACAGCAGUUGACAAACAGGCAGAGAAACAACUAAAAAACUCGGCACCAGGAAGUCUCAACUCGGGCACAGCUGAUGGCGGGGAAAAGGCGGAAAAGUCGGAAAAGCCGGCUGCUCAGCCCACCGCCUACAGCAUGCGACCGGCCUUUGGAGAGAUGUUUCCCCUGCCCACCAUUAAGAACAUAAUGAACACCGUGAUGGCCGAGAAACUCAAGGACAAAACCUACGACAAGGACGUGGCCAGGACGUGGACCAGCGAGAUUGCCGACGAGGUGAACCAGCAGAUUGCCAGCAGCUCCCGGGUGAAGCGCUACAAGCACGUCGUCCAGGUGAUGCUCGGUCAGGAGCUGGGUGCGGGGGCCACCUACAACUCGCGCUGCUGCUGGGACUGCGACUGCGACACCUCCGUCUCCGAGGUCUUCAGCAACACCAGCCUCUUCUGCGUCUGCACCGUGUUCGGCACGUACCAGUACUAGAAGGUACAGGUACUAGAAGAUUGUGCAUGACCAACUGAACUGAUUAGGCUAAGGAUCACCUCACUAUAUUUAUUUUCAAAGGGGCACCGGGAAACAAAGGCUUCUUCACUUUCGAUACUCGACCUUCGUCGGGCUUCAUUGGAUGCGCACGUUCAGCGGAUUCAGUAUGCGACCCGACAUAACAGCCACGUCCAGGUCGCGAUCCACAAUGAAAAACAGAAACGGAUGAUUCACGGAGAUCUGAAUGGGCUUCGUUUGUGCGCCAUAGUUGCCUAGAGAGCGAAAGGAAAUGUUUAUUGCUUAUUGCACUUUGUCUCGUGUUGCGGAGGCUGCUGCAACUGUUGCAACACCAAAAAGGGUGGGGCAAUCGCGAUGCGUUGCGGCUCAAUGCCUCCAACAUCACUGCACUGCACUCCAUUCAGGUGUGCUGCAAUGCGAGACACUUACGCUUCAGCUGAUUGAUGGGAUGCGUACGGAUGGUGACGUCUAUGGAUUGCUCAAUGUGCCGCACGUAAACGCCCUUCUCAUCAGUCAUGGGUCGGAAAUCGGCGCGAUUCGGCUCGAAGACGUCACAGCUGCAACGAAAGUAAAAGUGAGCCGGGAGCUGUAGCAAUCACGCCCAUGCUUACAUUCCCAUCUGCAACAGAAAAGCACAAACCAAUGGCACAGAUCAAUAAAAUGAAACCGAAGCGCACUAAUCGACACUCACAUUCUGCAAAUCGUUGGUCAGGAACAUGGUCCCAUGCAGCUUGAAGUCGGGUAUGAUGGCCUGCACCCAGCGCGGCUUCAGCUGCUUUCGCAUCAGCCGGAGAGUGGGACCCAGCUUAAGGGAGGCGGCGGCUGCCACGAUGUCCGUGUGGUAGUCGGGCAGCAGGAUCAUCAGGUUGUACUCAGGCGUGUCCAGUUCCAGCUCCAGCACGCUCAUCUUCAGGUGCUCGAAGUACUUGUAGUACAGCACGGCGUUGUACACCUUGAAGGUGGUGUGCACUACCUGCUGGUUGCCCAGGUAGAACACGUGGCUGAUCACAUCUGUGUUGUAGUUGGACUUGCCCUCGGCCGCUUCGCCCACGUAAUGUGGCUCAAAGUCGUUGGUGAUCGGGGCAAAAGCAGCGGGCACUGGCGGCGGAAUGUGCAGCGGAUGGUGCGGCACAUGUGUGUGCGGAUUGAAGAGCGUCAGAAAGAGAUUCGCAUCCAGGUCCUUGUAGGCUGGCAACGUGUGUCGCUUGUGGCGUGCCAUCUUCGCCUUCCGAGUCAGCGAGAUGUUUGCUGCCUGUGGAGCUAUAAUGGAAAUUACCUGCCGUGUGGGCGAUGCCUUACGCUCCGCCACCUGACGAGCCAUCAUCGGCAUGGCCGCCGUCCGGGCACUGGGCAAGUAAAUGGGCUUCGGCGUGAUGGGAUUCGAGUGCUUGAGCGGCGCCUGCAGCUUGCUGGUGGGCAGUCGCGAGACGCGGGACUUCUGGAUGCGAAGCAACGGCUCGGAGUCCUCCUCGGCCACAAACGCGGACACCAGCUCGGCGGCCUCAUCUUCGCCAGCGGGCUCGGCCUCCUCCUCGCCCGACGUUGCUGCUGGAGCUUCGGUGGUGGCCUCCGUCUCCGCUGGCGCCUCUGUUGUGGUGGUUGGAGGCUCUGUCGUUGUGGUCGCCGGUGCCUCCGUGGUCGUAGUGGCCGGCUCUUCCGUUGUGCUUUCUGCAUCCUUCAGCGUCGUGGUCUCCGCUUCCAUUUCACCGGUUGUGGCAUUGCUGGCCAUUGUGGUGUUGACCAUUUCGGCAUCUGACGUUAGAUUGGCUGGCGUUGAGGAUAGCAUGUCCACACUCAGAUCGUAUCCAUAGAACAUAAGAACGGUCUCAAAGUCCUUGAGAACCGUCACAUUGGACUUGUUGAAGCUGAGCCCUUUUAGGGGAUUAUCGGAGCCAAAAAAGUAAGUCUACAAAGUAAAUACAAAAUAUUAAACGAUACGAUUUUAGCUUUAUGUAUUUGUAACAAAGUUUUGUCGAAAAACCAUAUAUUUAUUCAACGAUUUAAGAAUAUUUUAAAAUGUUUUUACAAAAAAAUAACAAUUUAAACACACCGAUAUUUUCAUGGUUUCAUAUUUCGAAGUCUUCAUAUAAAAAUAUUCUCUUAUAAACCAUUGAUUUAAUUAUCAAAAACUUCAAAUUAAUUUAUGCAAACUUUCCACCCAAAAUAAAGAUAACCAGCGAAAGGCCUUUUUGAUCCAUUUAACUGCCCAAAAUCUGAUCAGUACAUGGCUACAUAAUGAUUGGCAAUUAAAAAAUCUAUUCACUUGAACAAUUGCUGGUCACUUUAGCCAGAUUAUCUGAUUCAAUGGGGUCGACGAACUAUUGAAAUCCGAUCACAGAUCGGCAGAGCAAUGGUCUUGUGCCUGGGGCAAUUGGUUUGGCAGUACGCAUACUCAACUUUGGUUCUGUUCUUUAUCAAUGAGCACUUGGCAUUCCGCACUCCAAACAAAUGAGUGCUUAGCCAGGCGUGUAAAUGUGGAUUGGCAUUUAAUUUGGACGGGGCUUUGAGUGGCCAACCGCCAAUGGCACUGGGUUAAGUUCAAAGUGGCCCAUUUGUGGA